GAUGAAGAACGUAGCGAAAUGCGAUAAGUAAUGUGAAUUGCAGAAUUCAGUGAAUCAUCGAAUCUUUGAACGCACAUUGCGCCCGCCAGUAUUCUGGCGGGCAUGCCUGUUCGAACGUCAUUUCAACCAUCAAGCCCCCGGCUUGUGUUGGGGACCUGCGGCUGCCGCAGGCCCUGAAAACCAGUGGCGGGCUCGCUAGUCACUCCGAGCGUAGUAAUACAUCUCGCUCAGGGCGUGCUGCGGGUUCCGGCCGUUAAAAAGCCUUAUUUACCCAAGGUUGACCUCGGAUCAGGUAGGAAGACCCGCUGAACUUAAGCAUAUCAAUAAGCGGAGGA
rnacentral:misc_RNA from 1 species